AAUAGAUACCCCGGUAGUCCACCCGUAACGUUGGACUAGUUGUGGGUCCAUUCCACGGAUUCCGUGACGCAGCUAACGCAUUAAGUUCCCCGCCUGGGGAGUACGGCCGCAAGGCUAAAACUCAAAGGAAUUGACGGGGACCCGCACAAGCGGCGGAGCAUGCGGAUUAAUUCGAUGCAACGCGAAGAACCUUACCAAGGCUUGACAUAUAGAGGAAACGGCUGGAAACAGUCGCCCCGCAAGGUCUCUAUACAGGUGGUGCAUGGUUGUCGUCAGCUCGUGUCGUGAGAUGUUGGGUUAAGUCCCGCAACGAGCGCAACCCUCGUUCUAUGUUGCCAGCACGUAAUGGUGGGAACUCAUGGGAUACUGCCGGGGUCAACUCGGAGGAAGGUGGGGAUGACGUCAAAUCAUCAUGCCCCUUAUGUCUUGGGCUUCACGCAUGCUACAAUGGCCGGUACAAAGGGCUGCAAUACCGUAAGGUGGAGCGAAUCCCAAAAGCCGGUCCCAGUUCGGAUUGAGGUCUGCAGCUCGACCUCA
rnacentral:rRNA from 1 species